CGCACAGAGACCAACCUGGCUGGUGACCGCGGCGCAGAACCAGGGGUCGCUAACCAGCUUAGCCACAGGAUUCUCCCGCAGGAUGGGAUAAAGAGAGCACACCACCUACCCCACACCCCUGCCACUGGAACGCAGUCCUCCUCCAGACUCCUUCCUCGAAAAGGGAGGUGAGGGCGCAGGCUUUUUUCUCUUAAACUAAGUGAAUAAACACGAAUCGGAAGCAAAUGUGAACAUCCUGGGGGGCCAGACGGAAGGCGUGAGGAGAAGACCAGGCGGCUCUCCAACUCCCGAGGAAUCACCGUCCUGACACGCCAACAAUCAACCACCCGGGCCAGGGGCCGACUGGGGCCCCCGCUCCCCUCCCGCAGUGCGUCUGGGGGGCCGAGGCCAAGGAUUAGAGGGGUGACCCUCCCGAGGCGCGGGGAAAGGGAGUGCCGGGCACGGUGCCCUCAAGGUCACCACGCGCCGUGGCGGGGGCGACCGGUGGCGGGAUGGGCCGUGGCGCGGCCGAGACGGCUCCGUGAAGCCGAAGACCUGCGGGUGUAGACCAGAAGCCCCAACGAGCCCCAUCCCUUGAGCCCGGAGCAGCGACUCCUGGACUGACCCGGCGCUGAGGUGCACGGCUGCGGUGCACCGCGAGAAACCCGCUCACCUUUUACAAUCUCCCGGCAAGAGGCAACCUGCGAGGGGCCCCGGCCGCCCCCGCCAGCUUCUCCUGAAUCCGGCGCAACCCGCCGGGCACCCAGCUAUCAGGACCCCUGCCGCGACGCCAGACCUCCGUGCUCCGCCCGGCCUCCCCCGCAGGUGACCUGCCCCGCCGCCCCCGCCGCUGGCGGGCGGCGGCCGCCACUCACCUCGCCCGGCAAUGGGCACCAUUUUCCGAGGGGGAAGGAAAGAGAGGCUGCAGGAGGGUCGCGGAGCGGUGAGGGGCAGCGGGAAACGCAAAGGAUGGGGGCUCUGUCCUCAGCGCGUCAGCAGUCGGCUCGCACGGCUCGGGGCGCCACGCGGAGGUGCAGCUGCACCUCGGGGAUCGGGCGGCCAAGGAGCCGAGAGGCUCGGCGUCCACCAGCCGGGGCUCCCUACUCACGCUGCACUGCGAGGAGGCGGCGGCGGCGGCAGCGAAGGAGGAGGAGGCGGCGCCCGGCCGUCCCCGCCCAGAGCCCGGCAGCCACCGAGUGGCCGCCCGCGUCCCCGCAGGACCCGCCUCCUCGGCUCCGCAGAGCCGCACACAGGGCGCGCCGCGCUCGCUGGGCACGGGCAGCUCAGCCGGCCUCACGCCGCCGUCCGCAACAGCAGCCGCGGGCGGGGUGCAGCCCCCUCCGUGAGCGCCACAGCCCGCCCCGCUCGGGGCGGGGCCCGCGGGCACCGGAGAGCGGACGGCCGAGCACGAGGGGGCUGCGCGCAGCUCCGGGCAGGGACCCCGUCUGCACCGGGUGGCCAGCAAGAUUGCCGGGCCCUGCACCCAUCUUUCCUGAGGGGAAAAGGAAACGGGAUAACUUGCGGUAUUUCGAUGCUCAAAGGUAACCGGCGGCUCUGCUCCAACCUUCAAGAGAUUUUGCAAGUUGAAAAACAAAGAAAAUCAUCCUUCGUAACAUCUACUUAA
ensembl:lncRNA